GCAGCUUCCACUCAUCACUGUAGUCGCCCAGGGAGAUGGAGCAGCCUCCUCCAGAAACAAUGUCACCUGAGAGGACGUUAGGGAGAGACCAGAGCUUCUCUAAUGAUGUCACUUCCACUUAGGACCACCAUGGCUGCAUCAAAAACAAAGAUUGCUCUCAAUUCUGAAAUAGUUCCAAGACUAAUGAGAUCAAAUAAAUGAAAGUAUGGACAACACUGGGGAGCAAUCUGAAACAAAUUCUUGGAAUAUGAGACUGGCCACCAGCAACAAAAGAGCAAAAAGCAGCCCAACUCCUGCACUCUCUAACCAGACCUGCAUGAUGUGGACACAGAGGGGAAGC